rnacentral:rRNA from 1 species
UCCUUUUGUAGAUAAUUUAAGGUCUAGCCUGCCCACUGAUAUUUUAAAUGGCCGUGGUAUUUUGACCGUGCUAAGGUAGCAUAAUCAUUAGUUUUUUAAUUAAAAACUGGAAUGAAAGGUUGGAUGAGAAAAUAGCUGUCUCUAUUAAAUUUAAUUAGAAUUUUAUUUUUAAGUUAAAAAGCUUAAUUGUUAUUAAAAGACGAGAAGACCCUAUAGAGUUUAAUUAUUUAAUAAAAAUUAUAUUUUAGUAUUAAUUUAUUUAUUUUAUUGAAUAAUUUAAUUGGGGUGAUUGAAAAAUUUAAUUAACUUUUUUUAUUUAAAAACAUUAAUUUAUGAAUAAAUGAUCCGAUAUUUUUGAUUAUAAGAUAAAAUUACCUUAGGGAUAACAGCGUAAUUUUUUUAGAAAGUUCAUAUUAAAAAAAAAGAUUGCGACCUCGAUGUUGGAUUAAAAUAAAUUUUUGGUGUAGAAGCUAAAAUAUUAGGUCUGUUCGACCUUUAAAAUUUUACAUGAU